rnacentral:tmRNA from 1 species
CUUGCAAUUUCCAGCACAAAGAUUUAUAAUACGCAUGCUGUGAACACAGUGAUGAUUCUGAAUGUUAUGCAGAAUAGUCGUUUUGGACUGGGGGGCGGUACCCCACAGCUCCACCAUUAAAAUAAAAAACUUUUAUGGGGCUGACAUAGUUUCGACAGGCGCAGUAAAAGCAAUAACUUGAAUCCGACAUAGUUGUCGUUAAACACUAACUAAAAACUGAAUGGCGAUAGAAUCGCUGCGAACGACAAUGUUCGCCUUGCAAUGGCUGCCUAAUAUG